UACGAAGGGAGCUAGCGUUGUUCGGAAUCACUGGGCGUAAAGCGCACGUAGGCGGAUGUGUCAGUCAGGGGUGAAAUCCCGGAGCUCAACUUCGGAACUGCCUUUGAUACAGCACAUCUGGAGUCCGGAAGAGGUGGGUGGAAUUCCUAGUGUAGAGGUGAAAUUCGUAGAUAUUAGGAAGAACACCGGUGGCGAAGGCGGCCCACUGGUCCGGUACUGACGCUGAGGUGCGAAAGCGUGG
rnacentral:rRNA from 1 species